GUCAGUAUGCCUAUAAUAUCGAUAUCAAUCAUUUCAAAAUUUAACAUCAAUUGUUUUGAAACAUCUUGUAAAAAGUACGCACCGAUCACUUCAGUGGAUAUAAAAAGCUCGUUUUCUACGUAUAAAAAUAUUCUGUUGUCAGUUUGAGUCAGUUUUACUAUUGAAAAUCUAUGGGAAUACAUAGACCCUCGUUAUAGAAUUUUAAUGAAAAGAUUAUUGAUAAGAGGAUUUAAACUUUUAGGUAAUAGUUUAUGGAAAUUUUUAGCAUAUAAAAGAGUGUAUUAAGAGUACUGUACAAGGUUUCAGCUUAAAUUCAUAUAUAAUUGUGAUUUUUAUGACAAGAACUGUUAAACUGAUUCAUGAGUGACUCCGAGUGGAAGUAUUUUCUCAGUAAAUUGUUUCCCUAUAAAUUGAAAAUAUGUCAGCAUAAGCCUUUAUUGUAAAUAUUUACAUAUUGUAUUUUUUUCCCCAUUCAAAAAUAAUAUUUAUUUGUAAAAACGUUGAGAAAUAAAUUAAGUGA